rnacentral:rRNA from 1 species
AAGUCGUAACAAGGUCUCCGUUGGUGAACCAGCGGAGGGAUCAUUACAGAGUUGCAAAACUCUCACAAACCAUCGCGAAUCUUACCCGUACGGUUGCCUCGGCGCUGGCGGUCCGGAAGGCCCUCGGGCCCCCGGAUCCUCGGGUCUCCCGCUCGCGGGAGGCUGCCCGCCGGAGUGCCGAAACCAAACUCUUGAUAUUUUAUGUCUCUCUGAGUAAACUUUUAAAUAAGUCAAAACUUUCAACAACGGAUCUCUUGGUUCUGGCAUCGAUGAAGAACGCAGCGAAAUGCGAUAAGUAAUGUGAAUUGCAGAAUUCAGUGAAUCAUCGAAUCUUUGAACGCACAUUGCGCUCGCCAGUAUUCUGGCGAGCAUGCCUGUUCGAGCGUCAUUUCAACCAUCAAGCUCUGCUUGCGUUGGGGAUCCGCGGCUGCCCGCGGUCCCUCAAAAACAGUGGCGGGCUCGCUAGUCACACCGAGCGUAGUAACUCUACAUCGUUCUGGUCGUGCGGCGGGUUCUUGCCGUAAAACCCCCCAAUUUCUAAGGUUGACCUCGGAUCAGGUAGGAAUACCCGCUGAACUUAA